GGUAGGGCAUAUUUUCCCUGCUUUACAGAUGUGGAAGCUUAGAGAACUUAGUGACUUUCCCAAGGUCACAAGUCAGUGGCAGAACUAAGACUAACCCUGAUAACACACUAGGGUUUUCCAGCCUGCGUUUCAUCACUGCACACAAAGCAAUUCCUUGGUUGGUUUUUUCCUUUGGGUUUCCCGAAGCUUGUGGAGAUGGGCAAGGCGGAUAUUACGAGAAUAGCCUCAUGUCCCAGAAGAGCAAUUUGAGACCCAGAGAAGGACAUGACGACUUGCCCAAGGCAACUUUCAUUCAACUGGGUUUAAUCUCCGGUCUCACGUCCUGUCUUCUGGACCCCGCGGUCUGUGUGCGGGGGAGGAGCUCUGGAUUCACUGAGGGAGACGGACACACGGAAAGAAAAGGUAUCGUGGAGUAGGAGGAUGUUUCAGUCCACUCAGGCCUCCCCGUUGCUAGAAAUGGAACACUGGCCCUGACAUCCUGAAGCUUCUAGCUUAAUGACUUCUGCUCUGUACUUGUCCUUUCUUGGCAUUUACAUAACUGGAGGAAUGGGUGCAAAUAUAUAAUAUUAUAGUAACUACCUAUUAAAUAUUUUGUUUUUUAAUUUUUAAAGUAAUCUCUGCACCCAACGUGGGGCUUGAACUCACAACCCCGAGAUCAAGCGUUGCAUGCACUACUGACUGAGCUGGCCAGGCGCCCUGGUAACCAGUCAUUAGAAGGAGCAGACAUAACUUCUGUUCCCAGUGGGAAGCCUGUUGGUAAAGAAGAGGAGCCCCUGGAACUGAAUGACUGACCCUUGUCCCCAAGCCUUUUCCUCAUGUGAACUGGCAGGUGAAGUCUGUUCAGCUGCCCUGCGUGCUCCAGGCUUACAAACCAAAGUCCACUUUUAGAGCUGGGGAUGACAUCCGUUUGGCACUGGGCUGUGGGCCGGGCUCCUGGGUGAAACCAGCUCCCACUGCCUGCCUUUCAGAGCUCGUGUCUGCAGGAUGCUGUUUUCAGGAUCACCUGAGCCUCACAAAUGCUCCAGGAAUUCACUUUGCAGCCUGGCACAUUUCAAGUCCCUGUGUAGGGCGGCCACGCCCAGAUUCCACGUGAGAGCCUCAGCAGAUCGGCUUCCCCCAUAGGCCUCCCCCACCUCCUCAGGUGUUUCUGCCUCGUGACUUGGAGCUGUGGUGCCACCAGGCAGGAAUGGGUCUGCGUUUGUGCGUGACGUCAUUGGUCCCGGAUGAGAGGUAGGUUUCUUCUUCACCCCAAGCACAUUUCUACAACUGUCCUGGUUCCAUCUUUGUAAGCAGAUACAGGUGUGGGGGGGUGUCUGCUGAUGCGCUCUGUGGCAAGGGCAGCCCAGGCACCCACACUCUGCCCUGCGGAUCUUCCAAAGGCUUCUGAGCCUCUUCUC
rnacentral:lncRNA from 1 species